AUUGAACGCUGGCGGCAGGCCUAACACAUGCAAGUCGAGCGGGUGAAGGGAGCUUGCUCCUGGAUUCAUCGGCGGACGGGUGGGUAAUGCCUAGGAAUCUGCCUGGUCGUGGGGGAUAACGUCCGGAAACGGGCGCUAAUACCGCAUACGUCCUGAGGGAGAAAUUGGGGGAUCUUCGGACCUCACGCUUUCAUAUGAGCCUAGGUCGGAUUAGCUAGUUGGUGGGGUAAAGGCCUACCAAGGCGACGAUCCGUAACUGGUCUGAGAGGAUGAUCAGUCACACUGGAACUGAGACACGGUCCAGACUCCUACGGGAGGAAGCAGUGGGGAAUAUUGGACGAUGGGCGAAAGCCUGAUACAGCCAUGCCGCGUGUGUGAAGAAGGUCUUCGGAUUGUAAAGCACUUUAAGUUGGGAGGAAGGGCAGUAAGUUAAUACCUUGCUGUUUUGACGUUACCAACAGAAUAAGCACCGGCUAACUUCGUG
rnacentral:rRNA from 1 species